UAAUUCUGCGAAUAUGCAAAUCAUUCGACAACAAUUUCGAGCUGAAAGUGAAAUUUUCUAUUAUCAGUUACUCAGAACACACACACACGCACCCGCACGCAAAGCUGUGUGAGAGGUGGAGAGAGGGAGAGAGAGCUAGAACCAAUGGGCCACUAAUACAGACAUAAAAACGAUCUGCUUAGAUGUUGGCAUAGCAAGCUGUCGUCUUCGUUCGGCUCUACUCGGCUUGAGUCGACUUGUCUUGUGCAGCCUUUGCUUUUGGAGAGAAAGAGAGAGAGGGAGCGGGAGAGGGAGCGGGAGCGGGAGAGCUGGAACCAAUGGGCCAAGUGGGCAUAACAAGCGCUCGGCUUGGCUUGGCUUGAUUCGGCUCGACUCGGCUUGACUCGGCUCGACUCGGCUUGGCUUGUGCAGCCUCGGGCUCUGCUUUUGGGCUUUGCUGCUGGACGCUGAGCGCACCUGUCUCCACAGAAACGCGCGACGCCCGCGCCGUCGAUUAGCGGACGCACCUAGAAGAAGCAGCACACACAACAGCCCCCGCUCGGCAUAUCCCAACGCGAGCCCAUCAAAUUCAGCUUAACGAAGUUCACAGGCACUUGUAAUUGGAUAUGGAUAACGGAUAGCGGAUAACGGAUAAAGGAUAAAACGAAUGAAGAUGUCAUAUGUCAUCACAUUAUGUAUGCCAUUUUCUGACUAGCUGAUUGAAGUUUAGAUCAUGUUUCCAAUUAGAAAACCAAGAAUGUAAAA